UAUAUUCGAUGAAUACAUGGGUAAACUCAGUUGUGAGAAUUGUAAGAUAUGAGUUAUGUCUUGAUAAAAGGGUUAUGCGAAUAAAGUUGUCAAUGUUUAGGACUUUAGCCAAUGUCUUGAUAAUGUGUAUAUGAGUUAUGAUUUUGAUGAUUGUUUGAUGAGAAAAAUAUAAUUUUGAAUAUUACGAUUGAGUUUAUGAUGAAUGCCUCACGAGGAGGAAAUUGUUGAUGUUGAUAUGUGUAGUUCGAAGGAACCAUUCAUGUGGCCUUACAAUGGCGAUGAGUAUUGAUGUUGUUUUAGGUUCGAGAGGAACUAGUGAUGAGCAUUGAAGUUGGAUGUGGAGACGAGUAUUACAUAUAUUUAUGUAGCAUUCAUGCAUCAUGUAUAUCGGAGAUAGGUAGUACUUCGGUCUAGUGACAAGUAGGACUUCAGUCCAAGUUACGAGUUGGAUGUUUUAGUAAUACACCUCUGAAUAUUUUAGUUAUUGGUACAACAUGCAUGGGAGUAGAGGAGAUGAAUAUGUUACACACAUAAUUGCAUAUUUUGAUUGAUUUAUGUUGUUAUUGGACAGUGUGAUUAAUUGAUUAUUCUAAUUGUACUAUCCUUGUUGUUUUAUGCACCGCUAACAUAUGUGCAUGUAUUCUCACCUCUUUUUGUUUUCUAUGUUGUCCUAUACACUUGUGCAGAUACUCAGCUAGAGACUGGGGAGCUUUAGUUGUUGCUUGUUUUGGAGGAUGGCAUAGUUGACCUUCUCUGUUGCUGAUUAGUCUGUGUUGUUUAAUUUUCCGUGCGUCGCUCUGAUUGUGUAACACUAGGUUGGGAAUACCUUAUUUUGUUUAUAUGUGAGUUGUUGAAUAAAUUAUUUUAUGAUUAAAUGAAGUAAUUUUCUAUUUAUGAGACAAUUUGAAGAUGUUAUACUGAGAAAUGUAGCACCCUUUUAUUCUCUUUAUUCUGCAUGUUUUAAAAAUUAUGUGUUCGGGGUUUAGGGUGUUACAUAGUUGGUAUCAUAGUCUGGUCGGUCCAUUCGGCAUAUGUUUUGUAAACUUGUUUACACCCUGGUGUACGACAUGUGUAUGAACUUCGAUGUGCGUCAUUCACCUUCAAACUUACAUUGUGUUGGAAGGGAUUAGACAAAUGUUCUCUUGCGAAAGGUUUUCAAUCGCACAAGGGCGAGAAAGUAAGUUUGAUGUGUUUGAC
rnacentral:lncRNA from 1 species